CAGCUAGUUGGCGAGGUAACGGCUCACCAAGGCAACGACGGGUAGCUGGUCUGAGAGGAUGGCCAGCCACAUUGGGACUGAGAUACGGCCCAGACUCCUACGGGAGGCAGCAGUGGGGAAUCUUGCGCAAUGGCCUAACGGCUGACGCAGCGACGCCGCGUGUGGGAUGAAGCUCUUCGGAGUGUAAACCACUGUUGCCCGGGACGAACAGCUCGAUUAAUCGAGCCUGACGGUACCGGGUGAGGAAGCACCGGCUAACUCCGUGCCAGCAGCCGCGGUAAUACGGGGGGUGCGAGCGUUGUCCGGAAUCACUGGGCGUAAAGGGCGCGUAGGUGGUUUGAUAAGGGUGUGGUGAAAGUCCGGGGCUCAACCCCGGAUCUGCCGUGCCGACUGUCAAACUCGAGGGCUGUAGAGGCAGACGGAAUUCCGGGUGUAGCGGUGGAAUGCGUAGAGAUCCGGAGGAAGACCGGUGGCGAAGGCGGUCUGCUGGGCAGUUUCUGACACUGAGGCGCGACAGCGU
rnacentral:rRNA from 1 species